GGGAGAGUUUUCUUCAGCAAAGGGAACUCAGAAAGCUGAAUCCUGAGUUCCCUGUGCUGGCCGUGUUCUUUAAGAUUCACCUUCAGAGGAAACUGGAAUCCUGGCACCCACCACGUGUCCCGUGUCACCAGCCUGACUGCAUGCUAUGGAGAGCUGUGUGGCAUUUGUAAUGGCCUGUUGAAUUUUGCCUGGGGCUGUCUGUGAGCCUGUUGGUGUGAAAGUAAGAAGAGAACUUUGGUCUCCAAAGAGAAUCCCUUGGCCCAGAAGCAAAAAAGAUUACAGUAAUGACAUCCAAUAAUUCUACAUAUGGAAGGCCUUAAAAGAUUGCAGGGAUCGAACCUCCACCCCUUGCAUUGGAAGUGCAGAGUCUUAACCACUGGACCACCAGGGAAGUCCCUAAAGGAGGAUUGUUUUCUGACAGAUCUGAUUGUGACAAGCAGAGGAAUAUUAAAGGCUGACACCUGCUAUUAAGUUGGAAUUUUUGAUGAGGUUCAAAGAUGGAUCUCCAUGACCUGGAAGAAUAAAUCAAGGUCACUGAUUGACUCAUACAAAGUCUUUUCAGCCAUUUAUAUUACAAUGUAAUUACAGCAAACUGAUGUGCAAUCCUGGAAGAGCUCUAACCUACUCACAUUGAUACAUAUGCAUUGUAUGAUGAAUAAAUGAAAAGAGAAAAAAGAUGCAAUGGAAAUUGUCUAUGUUCUUCAUUACAAGGAGGUUCAAAGUACUGCACAGCUACG